rnacentral:rRNA from 1 species
GAUGAACGCUGGCGGCGUGCCUAAUACAUGCAAGUCGAGCGAACGGACGAGAAGCUUGCUUUUCUGAUGUUAGCGGCGGACGGGUGAGUAACACGUGGAUAACCUACCUAUAAGACUGGGAUAACUUCGGGAAACCGGAGCUAAUACCGGAUAAUAUUUUGAACCGCAUGGUUCAAAAGUGAAAGACGGUCUUGCUGUCACUUAUAGAUGGAUCCGCGCUGCAUUAGCUAGUUGGUAAGGUAACGGCUUACCAAGGCAACGAUGCAUAGCCGACCUGAGAGGGUGAUAGGCCACACUGGAGCUGAGACACGGUCCAGACUCCUACGGGAGGCAGCAGUAGGGAAUCUUCCGCAACGGGCGAAAGCCUGACGGAGCAACGCCGCGUGAGUGAUGAAGGUCUUCGGAUCGUAAAACUCUGUUAUUAGGGAAGAACAUAUGUGUAAGUAACUGUGCACAUCUUGACGGUACCUAAUCAGAAAGCCACGGCUAACUACGUG